rnacentral:rRNA from 1 species
CAAUAAGCGGAGGAAAAGAAACCAACAGGGAUUGCCCUAGUAACGGCGAGUGAAGCGGCAACAGCUCAAAUUUGAAAUCUGGCUCUUUUAGAGUCCGAGUUGUAAUUUGCAGAGGGCGCUUUGGCGUUGGCAGCGGUCCAAGUUCUUUGGAACAGGACGUCACAGAGGGUGAGAAUCCCGUACGUGGUCGCUAGCCUUCGCCGUGUAAAGCCCCUUCGACGAGUCGAGUUGUUUGGGAAUGCAGCUCUAAAUGGGAGGUAAAUUUCUUCUAAAGCUAAAUACUGGCCAGAGACCGAUAGCGCACAAGUAGAGUGAUCGAAAGAUGAAAAGCACUUUGGAAAGAGAGUCAAAUAGCACGUGAAAUUGUUGAAAGGGAAGCGCUUGCAGCCAGACUUGCCUGUAGUUGCUUAUCCGGACUUUUGUCCGGUGCACUCUUCUGCGGGCAGGCCAGCAUCAGUCUAGGCGGUUGGAUAAAGGUCUCUGUCAUGUACCUCUCUUCGGGGAGGCCUUAUAGGGGAGACGACAUGCAACCAGCCUGGACUGAGGUCCGCGCAUCUGCUAGGAUGCUGGCGUAAUGGCUGUAAGCGGCCCGUCUUGAAACACGGACCAAGGAGUCUAACAUCUAUGCGAGUGUUUGGGUGUCAAGCCCAGACGCGUAAUGAAAGUGAACGGAGGUGGGAACCCUUUGGGUGCACCAUCGACCGAUCCUGAUGUCUUCGGAUGGAUUUGAGUAAGAGCAUGGCUGUUGGGACCCGAAAGAUGGUGAACUAUGCUUGAAUAGGGUGAAGCCAGAGGAAACUCUGGUGGAGGCUCGCAGCGGUUCUGACGUGCAAAUCGAUCGUCAAAUUUGGGCAUAGGGGCGAAAGACUAAUCGAACUAUCUAGUAGCUGG